rnacentral:lncRNA from 10 species
ACCAUGAAAGAGAAGCUUUUCCAUCCACUGAAAAUUCUGCCCCUACAAACAUCAGUCCAACCAGUGUCCUGAAAUCCAACUAACCAGGCCGUGCCUCUUCCUCCUUACAGAAUGAACAUCCUUCUUCUUCACCCUUGAUUCCCAUUCAUCCUUGUGGGGAGAGAAGGAUGAAGAAAGAGGAGCUUUAGGUCUUCUGCAAGUCAGACUCCAUUCAUUCACUGAGUACUGAGCCAGGCCACCUGCCAGGCACUGGGACCAUGAGAUGAAUCUUACCAGUCCCUGCCUUCAAGGAACUCACAACCUAUAGAGGAAGAGCGGACAGGCUGGGAAGUAGGAGGAGAUAGUGGCCUCCAGGCUCCUCCAUCCAGACAGGUGAUGUUACCCCACCAUACUGCUCCAGAAACAGCAGUGGCUCCCCACAACACGCCCAGCUCAUUUGCACAGAGCAUUAAGUUUCUCACGUCGGCUCCUAGCCUCCUAACUACUCACAGGUGUCCCUCCACCUGUCCUGUGCUCCCCUGUUUUGCUCUGUCCUCUAAGGCCUGACAUGCUGAUGUGUCCCCGCAGCCUAGCACGUCACCUC